UUGUGUUCAUCAGAAAGAAGAAAGUCAUAUACACCUAAUGGCUUGAGGGUGAAUAAAGCUUGGGCGAAUUUUCAUUUGAAAGUGAACUAAUCCUUUAAAGAAAAUUUUGAUAAAAUAAAAGAAGCCAUGGUGAGCAUAUGAGACAAAGAAUUUAAGCAAAAUGGACAUUAUAACUGACAUAUACAUAAUCAGAAUCAAAAGAAAUCAAACAGAAAGCUUGUGAAGGGGAAUCAAAUCAAAUCAUGCACUUGUGUAUUGUAUGUUUUUAGCUGUCAGACUAGCUGUAGACAUUACAGUAUGCACAUACACACACACACACACACACACACACACACACUUUCUCAAUUAAGUACAGAGUAAUUAUGCAUAAUUUACUGUUAUUACUUGUAGUAACAUUGUGCGUCACCUUAAAAUUAGUGUUACCAAAAACAAAGUGUAAAACAGAAUAUAACUUUCUUCACUCAUCGGUUUUGGUUUCUUCAAAGAAUCUGUGACAAUUAAGCUCAAUUUUUUCUUCUGUUGUUUAACAAUAUAAAAUUAAGUAAUGCAUAUGAGAUUUUUACAAAUUCCAUCCUUCCAUGUUUUUUUGGACAAAUGGGGUUGUAAAAAUGCCCCCUGCCACUGACUCUACUCUAUAUUCAAUUAACAGCAGGGUCUAUCAGAUGACCGAACGGAAUCAAGCUGAGCUCGGUCUUAUCAUGCUGCGAUAAUUCGGUUGAGUGCAAGCUUAUUUUUAGUUUCUUUACUCAAUUACAAUACUGUUUUCAGACAAACAAAUCAUUUAUCUCCAUCUUUCUUCAUAUGCAUCCCAUAACAAAACCUAAUCAGAUUACUCUUAGUAUUGAAGUGGUACAAUCAAGCUAAAUGUGGUGGAAAACGCGGGCAGAAGGGGCCAAACCGCUCUAAAGUUGCAGACCACCGUUAGCACAAAGAGGUGCAUUUUGUUCUCCAGAGAUGCUAUCGUUUUGAUAAAUUGAGCAUGCCACCCGUCCUCUGAGACAAGAGGAAAGCGAUUGUGAUAAUGAGCAUCCUUGACUUGCUCCAAUGAAUUAUGGGAGGAAGCGAAACCCGCCACUGAUGACUGAGAGGAUCAAAGGGAGCGAGAAUGAGGAGGGGGAGACACUGAUCUCAACUGCUUUGAUGUGUUAGAGUGCUUGUGUUCAUGCAGGUCUAAAGAGACGUUUGGAGAACCAUCCUGAAGAGCCUCAAUCAUCAUCAUCAUCAUCUCGGUCUUCUGCUGAUGACAUGGACUUUAGAUCUUAACUUGCUUUUAUGUGAAGCUCUUCAGUGUUCAGAUCAACAAAUUUGGAGGCAACAAGCUAGCAUGACGUCUCAAAAAGAGACACCAUGUUCUCCUGCCUCCAGACGGAGAUCAGAGGACCAGGGCUCUCUACAUGACCUACAAAGAAGCUAUUGAACCUGAUGCCUCCACCGCCCGAAGAGCUGCAUUUUACUGCUGAAGCACAUUAUCUGUUGAGUUGGUUUUACCUCGGUCUCCAAAGAUUCUACAAUGACUCCGCAGAGAAUUGUGAGAUAAAUUCCAGGAAAAGCAGAAUUCGGUGAAGUGAGAAAAGGGCGAGAUGGAUGAGAAACACCACACCGUGGUCUAAGGACUUGUUCUUUUUUUUUUUUUUUUUUACAGGAAAUCUGUUUAUGCGACGAUAGUACUAAAAAAAAUCACAAACCUGAAAAAUUGUUUAGGACUCCAUUUUAAGAUCUGGAAAUGGAUCCAUGCAGAGUAACCUUGUGUCAAGAGUGAGAGAGGAGAAUGAGCUUUUAAAUAUCCCCUGGAGCAAAUAACAGAAAAUGAAGCACAAUCAAUAAAUGUCUAAUGCAGGUCAAAAAAAUUGUGGUAAAAUUGCUGUCUAUGGACGGGUCAGAGAGCUCUAGGAUUUCAUCAAAAAUAUCUU